GCAGGCACAGGGCUGGCCCUGGCAGGGUCGGGGUCUUUGCUGGUGCCCCUGAGGCGGCGGGGAACGCUCCCCUCUCACCCACUGCUUUCCGUCCUCUGCAGGGAGCGACACCACGGAAGUGCCGAUGUGGAGGCAAGAAGGGGAAAGGCCGAGGUGUGCAGCCCCGGGGCAAGGGCCAGCGCCCUGCGAAGACCCCACCUGUCCCCACGUGCCCACUGCCCCAACCGGGGAUGGCCUCUCCCCUCACUCUGUCCCCUGGGUCUUCAGACUCUGUCCUCCUGGAGCCUUCACAGCCCUUGAGGAUGAAGUAAGUGGAUCCAAGUCUCCUGGAGCACGGUAGCCCUCCACCCCCAGUAUCUUCCAGCCAAGACAGGUCCUGAUAAUGCUGUCCUCUGCCCCUCUGCAGCUGGCCCAUGCACCCAGACGUGGAUGGUUGGAGUGAAGCAGUCGAGCAAUUAAACAGGACUCUCAAGGACUUUGAAAGACACCUGGAAUCGUUCAACUGUGAGACCGUUGAAGGCAGAGACAGCUCUCUAACUUCCACCAUGGGCCUCACCCAUGAAUCCAGACUGGAGCAAGAACUGGACCUGUCGGUGACUGUGGAAACUCCACAAAAUGUUCCAGCCUCAGCUCCUCCUAGACCCCACCAACCAGAAAACCGUGGUGUGGUGGUUCCGAUCGUGUUGGAUCCGCCCUACCUGGAUGAGGAUGCAAAAAGGGACCUAGAGGCUCUCAUUUCAAAAAUGAAAAUCCAGAGGCGCUAUGGGCUGCAAAGGUGGAUCCUGGAUUGUGAGCCGUGCUUUGAAUUUAUCGAGCGGAAAUUGAAAGACUCUGGGACUUUCCCUCCAGAGGAACACCCGAGGCUGUGUGGAGGAAUAGGUUUGUGAAAAGGGGCACGAUUUAAUUGCAAUGAGCAACCAGAAGAUGAGAGAAUGUUGCUGGGCGUGGACAAGGGGUCUACACCAAUUGGAUCAAUAUUAGUUCUUUAGUAUCAUUAAUGUUAAUUACUUAGUCUGAUUCUAUUAAAUCUCUUUCUAUUUCAACCCU
rnacentral:lncRNA from 1 species